rnacentral:rRNA from 1 species
ACUCCUACGGGAGGCAGCAGUGGGGAAUAUUGCACAAUGGGCGCAAGCCUGAUGCAGCCAUGCCGCGUGUAUGAAGAAGGCCUUCGGGUUGUAAAGUACUUUUAGCGAGGAGGAAGGCAUUGUUGUUAAUAACCGCAG